ACGGAAGGCAGCAGUGGGGAAUAUUGCACAAUGGGCGAAAGCCUGAUGCAGCGACGCCGCGUGAACGAAGAAGUAUUUCGGUAUGUAAAGUUCUAUCAGCAGGGAAGAUAAUGACGGUACCUGACUAAGAAGCACCGGCUAAAUACGUGCCAGCAGCCGCGGUAAUACGUAGGUGGCAAGCGUUAUCCGGAUUUACUGGGUGUAAAGGGCGCGUAGGCGGGAAUGCAAGUCAGAUGUGAAAUCUCUGGGCUCAACCCAGAAACUGCAUUUGAAACUGUAUUUCUUGAGUGCUGGAGAGGUAGAUGGAAUUCCUAGUGUAGCGGUGAAAUGCGUAGAUAUUAGGAAGAACACCAGUGGCGAAGGCGAUCUACUGGACAGUAACUGACGCUGAGGCGCGAAAGCGUGGGGAGCAAACAGGAUUAGAUACCCUGGUA
rnacentral:rRNA from 1 species